rnacentral:piRNA from 3 species
GGGCUGGAGAGAUGGCUCAGCGGUUAAG